GCGGGAGGCUGUAGACUUAUUCACGGCUUCGACACCAGACAGGGAGGCGAGCUGCGGGUCAGCUGCCACGGGUCCAGUCUGCUUGCGUUCCCCCUGCGCUCAGGGAGCGAAGCCAAGAUGUUCGGGUCGUCGCGGAGCACCUUUGAGGAAGAUCCUUUCUUCUCGCAAAGAACUAUGGUAAAAUGCAAAUCCAUAGACACAUCUGAACUCAGAAAAUCACUACGAGACUCCUUUACUUCACACAAUGAGGAUAUGCGUCAAAUGAUGAAGAGCUUGGCUGAGCCAAUUGGAAAACUUCUUGGCAUUGCUGGUGGCAGAGGCCAUCAGAAUGAAGAUGAAUCAGAUGAUGAUAAACAGUCUUGCUCUGCAAGGAGCCGUGCCCUUGCACCUUUUGGUGGCAGUUUCGGUGGUUCUUCCCUUAUGCCUUUUGGUGGUUUUGAUACAAUGAAUACAGAUGUCAGCCCUUUUCAGGCAAUGGACAGAAUGAUGUCAAAUAUGCGAAACAAUAUGCAGGAUUUACAGAGAAGUUUUAGCGACAUGUCAGUCGACACAGAGAGGGGACAUUCCUAUUGUUCUUCCUCCAUUAUGACCUUCUCCAAAAUAGGUAAUGAGCCUCCGAAGCUUUUCCAAGCUUCUUCUCAGACGCGAAGAGCUCCGGGAGGGAUUAAGGAAACCAGGAAGGCACUGAAGGAUUCCGACAGCGGAAUCGAGAAGAUGGCGGUAGGCCAUCACAUUUAUGACCGCGGACACGUCAUCCGAAGGGAGAGAAAUAGCAGAACUGGUGACCAGGAGCUCAAUCAAGAGUUCAUCAACAUGCAAGAGUCCGAUGCCCAAAACUUCAACGACGAAUGGCAGAACCAAAUUCUAAAGCUCUUCCAAUCAGGACGGAAAAAUCUGGAGGGCGCCAGAUUAAGAAACGGUCACUCUGACAGUUCGGUCAACUAUGAAGAUAUUUCCAGAAGGCUGUAGGAGUUGGGAGAAUUGCUGCAGAAGGUGGAAGGCUUCACAGAACCAUCGUUGGACCAAGCAGAAGGCUAUCAAGGAGAGACCUCGUCACAGAACUGCCAUCGAAAGCCAAAGAAGACCAAAGGCUCGUGAGGAAAAUCUCCAUAUAAAGGGAUCAUCUGUCAAAUCCAACAAAAAAUAAAUUUCCGUGCAUUUGA